UGUAUUACAGGGCAGUCAGGUUACAUUAUGUUUUGUAUUACAGGGCAGUCAGGUUACAUUAUGUUUUGUAUUACAGGGCAGUCAGGUUACAUUAUGUUUUGUAUUACAGGGCAGUCAGGUUACAUUAUGUUUUGUAUUACAGGGCAGUCAGGUUACAUUAUGUUUUGUAUUACAGGGCAGUCAGGUUACAUUAUGUUUUGUAUUACAGGGCAGUCAGGUUACAUUAUGUUUUGUAUUACAGGGCAGUCAGGUUACAUUAUGUUUUGUAUUACAGGGCAGUCAGGUUACUUUAUGUUUUGUAUUACAGGGCAGUCAGGUUACAUUAUGUUUUGUAUUACAGGGCAGUCAGGUUACAUUAUGUUUUGUAUUACAGGGCAGUCAGGUUACAUUAUGUUUUGUAUUACAG